AUACGUAGGUGACAAGCGUUAUCCGGAUUUACUGGGCGUAAAGGACGUGUAGGCGGUCUUGCAAGUCAAAAGUGAAAUUCCUGAGCUCAACUCGGGCGCUGCUUCUGAAACUGCAGGACUUGAGUGCAGGAGAGGUUAUCGGAAUUCCCGGUGUAGUGGUGAAAUGCGUAGAGAUCGGGAGGAACACCAGUGGCGAAGGCGGGUAACUGGACGACAACUGACGCUGAGGCGCGAAAGCGUGGGGAGCAAACAGGAUUAGAUACCCUGGUAGUCCACGCUGUAAACGAUGAAUACUAGGUGUGGGGGGACUGACCCCCUCCGUGCCGCAGUUAACACAAUAAGUAUUCCACCUGGGGAGUACGAUCGCAAGAUUGAAACUCAAAUGAAUUGACGGGG
rnacentral:rRNA from 1 species